UCAGUGGCCGAGUGGAUAAUGCGAUUGCGUUUGAAGCGAAAGGUACUGGGUUCGAGUCCUAGAAUGA
rnacentral:tRNA from 1 species